rnacentral:rRNA from 1 species
UACGGUGGGGGCAAGCGUUGUUCGGAAUUAUUGGGCGUAAAGGGCGCGUAGGCGGCCGGAUAAGUCAAAGGUGAAAUCCCUCGGCUCAACUGAGGAACUGCCUUUGAAACUGUUUGGCUCGAGUCCGGGAGGGGGUAGCGGAAUUCCCAGUGUAGCGGUGAAAUGCGUAGAUAUUGGGAGGAACACCAGUGGCGAAGGCGGCUACCUGGACCGGAACUGACGCUGAUGCGCGAAAGCGUGGGGAGCAAACAGG